rnacentral:rRNA from 1 species
AUGGUUAAGCUAAUAAGAGCACACGGAGGAUGCCUAGGCGCCAGGAGCCGACGAAGGACGUGGCGAACAACGAAACUGCCUCGGGGAGCUGUAAGCAAGCUUUGAUCCGGGGGUGUCCGAAUGGGGAAACCCAGCUGUGGUAAUUCGCAGUUACUCAUACCUGAAUACAUAGGGUAUGCAGAGGCAGACCAGGGGAACUGAAACAUCUAAGUACCCUGAGGAAGAGAAAACAAUAGUGAUUCCGUCAGUAGCGGCGAGCGAACGCGGAACAGCCUAAACCAAGGGGCUUGCCCCUUGGGGUUGUGGGACGUCUCACAUGGAGUUACAAAGGAAUAUGGUAGGUGAAGAGGUCUGGAAAGGCCCGCGAUAGAGGUAAAAGCCCUGUAACCUAAACUGUGUUCUCUCCGAGACGGAUCCCGAGUAGUGCGGGGCACGUGAAACCCCGUAUGAAUCCAGCAGGACCAUCUGCUAAGGCUAAAUACUACCUGGCGACCGAUAGUGAAACAGUACCGUGAGGGAAAGGUGAAAAGCACCCCGGAAGGGGAGUGAAAUAGAACCUGAAACCGUGUGCUUACAAAAAGUCAGAGCCCGUUUUAGGGGUGAUGGCGUGCCUUUUGUAGAAUGAACCGGCGAGUUACGUUUAACAUGCAAGGUUAAGGUGAGAAGCCGGAGCCGCAGCGAAAGCGAGUCUGAAUAGGGCGACUAAGUAUGUGGACGUAGACCCGAAACCGUGUGAUCUACCCCUGUCCAGGGUGAAGGUGCGGUAACACGCACUGGAGGCCCGAACCCACGCAUGUUGAAAAAUGCGGGGAUGAGGUGGGGGUAGCGGAGAAAUUCCAAUCGAACUCGGAGAUAGCUGGUUCUCCCCGAAAUAGCUUUAGGGCUAGCCUCGGUGAAUGGAGUGGUGGAGGUAGAGCACUGAUUGGGUGCGGGGCCCGCAAGGGUUACCAAGCUCAGUCAAACUCCGAAUGCCAUUAACUUCUUGCCGGGAGUCAGACAGUGAGUGCUAAGAUCCAUUGUCAAAAGGGAAACAGCCCAGACCAUCAGCUAAGGUCCCCAAGUGUGUGUUAAGUGGGAAAGGAUGUGGAGUUGCACAGACAACCAGGAUGUUGGCUUAGAAGCAGCCACCAUUGAAAGAGUGCGUAAUAGCUCACUGGUCGAGUGACUCUGCGCCGAAAAUGUAACGGGGCUAAACACACCACCGAAGCUAUGGCUAGAUGCUUUGCAUCUGGGGUAGGGGAGCGUUGUAUAUACGUUGAAGGUGUACCGUAAGGAGCGCUGGAGAGUAUACAAGUGAGAAUGCCGGUAUGAGUAACGAAAAGAUCAGUGAGAAUCUGAUCCGCCGAAAGCCCAAGGUUUCCUGAGGAAGGCUCGUCCGCUCAGGGUAAGUCGGGACCUAAGGCGAGGCCGACAGGCGUAGUCGAAGGACAACAGUUUGAAAUUACUGUACCACCGUAAUCCGCUAUGAGCGAUGGGGUGACGCAGGAGGGUAGUGACGCGGACUGAUGGAUGUCCGUCUAAGCAGUGAGGCUGAUGUGUAGGCAAAUCCGCACAUCAUUAAGGCUGGGCUGUGAUGGGGAGCGAAAAUUAUAGUAGCGAAGGUCAUGAUCUCACACUGCCAAGAAAAGCCUCUAGCCAGGAGAAGGUGCCCGUACCGCAAACCGACACAGGUAGGCGAGAAGAGAAUUCUAAGGCGCGCGGAAGAACUCUCGUUAAGGAACUCGGCAAAAUGACCCCGUAACUUCGGGAGAAGGGGUGCCUCGGUAGGGUGAAUAGCCCGAGGGGGCCGCAGUGAAAAGGCCCAAGCGACUGUUUAGCAAAAACACAGGUCUGUGCGAAGCCGCAAGGCGAAGUAUACGGGCUGACGCCUGCCCGGUGCUGGAAGG